rnacentral:rRNA from 1 species
UACAUGGGGUGCAAACGUUGCUCGGAAUUAUUGGGCGUAAAGCGCACGUAGGCGGUUUGUUAAGUCGGAUGUGAAAUCCCUCGGCUCAACUGAGGAAGUGCAUCCGAAACUGGCAAGCUUGAGUACGAAAGAGGGUCGCGGAAUUCCCGGUGUAGAGGUGAAAUUCAUAGAUAUCGGGAGGAACACCGGUGGCGAAGGCGGCGACCUGGGUCGAUACUGACGCUGAGGUGCGAAAGCGUGGGGAGCAAACAGG